GAUGAAGAACGUAGCAAAAUGCGAUAAUUAAUGUGAAUUGCAGAAUUUAGUGAAACAUCGAAUCUUUGAACGCACAUUGCGCCCCUUGGUAUUCCGGGGGGCAUGCCUGUUCGAGCGUCAUUUCAACCCUCAAGCUCUGCUUGGUCUUGGGCCGCGCCGGCAACGGCGGGCCUCAAAAACAGUGGCGGCGCCAUCUGGUCCCUCAGCGUAGUAAUUCUUCUCGCUGCUGGGCCCCGGUGGCCGCUUGCCAGCAACCCCAAACUUUCUAUGGUUGACCUCGGAUCAGGUAGGGAUACCCGCUGAACUUAAGCAUAUCAAUAAGCGGAGGA
rnacentral:misc_RNA from 1 species